rnacentral:rRNA from 1 species
CAGGCUUAACACAUGCAAGUCGAGGGGCAUCAGGAAGAAAGCUUGCUUUCUUUGCUGGCGACCGGCGCACGGGUGAGUAACACGUAUCCAACCUGCCCUUUACUCGGGGAUAGCCUUUCGAAAGAAAGAUUAAUACCCGAUGGCAUAAUGAUUCCGCAUGGUUUCAUUAUUAAAGGAUUCCGGUAAAGGAUGGGGAUGCGUUCCAUUAGGUUGUUGGUGAGGUAACGGCUCACCAAGCCUUCGAUGGAUAGGGGUUCUGAGAGGAAGGUCCCCCACAUUGGAACUGAGACACGGUCCAAACUCCUACGGGAGGCAGCAGUGAGGAAUAUUGGUCAAUGGGCGCUAGCCUGAACCAGCCAAGUAGCGUGAAGGAUGAAGGCUCUAUGGGUCGUAAACUUCUUUUAUAUAAGAAUAAAGUGCAGUAUGUAUACUGUUUUGUAUGUAUUAUAUGAAUAAGGAUCGGCUAACUCCGUGCCAGCAGCCGCGGUAAUACGGGGGAUCCGAGCGUUAUCCGGAUUUAUUGGGUUUAAAGGGAGCGUAGGUGGACUGGUAAGUCAGUUGUGAAAGUUUGCGGCUCAACCGUAAAAUUGCAGUUGAUACUGUCAGUCUUGAGUACAGUAGAGGUGGGCGGAAUUCGUGGUGUAGCGGUGAAAUGCUUAGAUAUCACGAAGAACUCCGAUUGCGAAGGCAGCUCACUGGACUGCAACUGACACUGAUGCUCGAAAGUGUGGGUAUCAAACAGGAUUAGAUACCCUGGUAGUCCACACAGUAAACGAUGAAUACUCGCUGUUUGCGAUAUACAGUAAGCGGCCAAGCGAAAGCAUUAAGUAUUCCACCUGGGGAGUACGCCGGCAACGGUGAAACUCAAAGGAAUUGACGGGGGCCCGCACAAGCGGAGGAACAUGUGGUUUAAUUCGAUGAUACGCGAGGAACCUUACCCGGGCUUAAAUUGCAGUGGAAUGAUGUGGAAACAUGUCAGUGAGCAAUCACCGCUGUGAAGGUGCUGCAUGGUUGUCGUCAGCUCGUGCCGUGAGGUGUCGGCUUAAGUGCCAUAACGAGCGCAACCCUUAUCUUUAGUUACUAACAGGUUAUGCUGAGGACUCUAGAGAGACUGCCGUCGUAAGAUGUGAGGAAGGUGGGGAUGACGUCAAAUCAGCACGGCCCUUACGUCCGGGGCUACACACGUGUUACAAUGGGGGGUACAGAAGGCAGCUAGCGGGUGACCGUAUGCUAAUCCCAAAAGCCUCUCUCAGUUCGGAUCGAAGUCUGCAACCCGACUUCGUGAAGCUGGAUUCGCUAGUAAUCGCGCAUCAGCCACGGCGCGGUGAAUACGUUCCCGGGCCUUGUACACACCGCCCGUCAAGCCAUGGGAGCCGGGGGUACCUGAAGUACGUAACCGCAAGGAUCGUCCUAGGGUAAAACUGGUGACUG